rnacentral:tRNA from 1 species
AACUGGAUAGCUUAAAUUAAGAGCAUUACAUUGAAGAUGUAGGGGUGGUAAGAUAUACUUUUAGUUA